rnacentral:rRNA from 1 species
CCUACGGGUGGCAGCAGUGAGGAAUAUUGGUCAAUGGGCGCGAGCCUGAACCAGCCAAGUAGCGUGAAGGAUGACUGCCCUACGGGUUGUAAACUUCUUUUAUAAAGGAAUAAAGUGAGGCACGUGUGCCUUUUUGUAUGUACUUUAUGAAUAAGGAUCGGCUAACUCCGUGCCAGCAGCCGCGGUAAUACGGAGGAUCCGAGCGUUAUCCGGAUUUAUUGGGUUUAAAGGGUGCGUAGGCGGGCAUUUAAGCCGGCGGUCAAAUGUCGGGGCUCAACCCCGGCCUGCCGUCGGAACUGGGUGCCUUGAGUGGGCGAGAAGUAUGCGGAAUGCGUGGUGUAGCGGUGAAAUGCAUAGAUAUCACGCAGAACCCCGAUUGCGAAGGCAGCAUACCGGCGCCCUACUGACGCUGAGGCACGAAAGUGCGGGUAUCGAACAGGAUUAGAUACCCCUGUAGUC